GUGGGGAAUUUUGGACAAUGGGCGCAAGCCUGAUCCAGCAAUGCCGCGUGCAGGAAGAAGGCCUUCGGGUUGUAAACUGCUUUUGUACGGAACGAAACGGUCCUGGCUAAUAUCCGGGGCUAAUGACGGUACCGUAAGAAUAAGCACCGGCUAACUACGUGCCAGCAGCCGCGGUAAUACGUAGGGUGCGAGCGUUAAUCGGAAUUACUGGGCGUAAAGCGUGCGCAGGCGGUGCUGUAAGACAGGCGUGAAAUCCCCGGGCUCAACCUGGGAAUUGCGGUUGUGACUGCAGUGCUGGAGUGCGGCAGAGGGGGAUGGAAUUCCGCGUGUAGCAGUGAAAUGCGUAGAUAUGCGGAGGAACACCGAUGGCGAAGGCAAUCCCCUGGGCCUGCACUGACGCUCAUGCACGAAAGCGUGGGGAGCAAACAGGAUUAGAUACCCGGGUAGUCC
rnacentral:rRNA from 1 species